rnacentral:misc_RNA from 1 species
AAAUUGAACACGUGGCACAGAAGACACUAAUAUUUAAGGAUGUGGAGACAAAAAAACUGCUGAUUUUUGCUAUUUAGGCACAUUAUCCCUACCUCUUUUCAUUCUAUAAACACAGCUCUAAACCAGAUACAAUAGUAUACUGAAUUCUUUUCUUCAGCAGUGGCCAAGAACUUAAAAAAAAAAUAAUGUCAGAGCAUGCCUAAUUAUAAUUAGUUAAUAAAUGUACCCAUAACAGACAUGGACACAAUCAAUUUGUUGUUCCUCCAGGGUAUAUUCCAGCAAGAAUGGGCUCCUCAAGCAAACUGAAAUAUCUACUACCUUAUUCAUUCUGGCUUCUUCAAGUUCAGGCAGUUAUCUGUUGCUUGGUUAAACAACUCCUGGACCUGCUUUAGCUCCUUCUCUGCAGCUUCCAGUUGUUUUUGAAGUUCUUGGCCAACUGCAUCGUUCUCAGCCUGGAGUUCUGCAAUUCUUUUCAAUUGGGCUUCUUCACUCCCAUCCGAUAAAGGAAGAGCAGCAACCAACACAUCGAACUGCUUGGCAGCCUUAACAAAAGCAGCACUCAUUUGCUUUGGUUGUUCUGCAACAUUAGCUGAGUCUUCUGUGGGAUUAGCAGGUGGAGGUUCUGGAUAAUUAGGUGAUAGACGCACAGGAGGGGCGUCCCUCUGAAGAGUACCAAAGGUGUUGAAAGCAAGAGCUGCAAUUGUAUUUACUUGUUCCUGUAACUGUGAUAUGAUAUCCAUCUUCCAAAUCCUUCCCUUUAUUGCUGAAAACCCUAGAAUUGGAGGUCCGGG